UAAGUGUUCCCAUCCUUCGGGAGUAAGGCCCCUUGUAGACUACGAGGUUGAUAGGUCAGGAGUGGAAGUGCAGUAAUGUAUGGAGCGGACUGAUACUAAUAGGCCGAGGGCUUGACCUC
rnacentral:rRNA from 1 species